AAAAUAAAUGAAGUGUAGCAACGCCACUUAAAUACCGUUAUAUUAUUGCUUGUUUAUCUUGCUGGCUAUCAAUUAAAUGAGCUGAGAGAGACGAGCUUAUGAUGAUGGAUAUAUAUCUGACUCAGGCAGAACAUGCAACUAAACCAACUUUUUCAUGAACGGUUGUCAGCUAACAGAAUAAUGAAUAAGGACUAACGUUAAGCAAGCUUCUUUCUGACUGUGAUGAUUCAUGAUUGCUCACUUUCAACUUGCCUGGCCUGCCACACGAACUUCCAACUGUUGGUUUAUUAGGAUGUGUCUCUAUCUGCUGGAGAAACCUAGAAAUGCACUCCUAUUUCCUAACCGGUAUCUGAACUAAACGUUUUGUUAUUGCCUAAUUAGGCUAGUAUGUAUAAACAUUUUCUAUUUGUUAGUAUAGAAUUGAGCAUACUAUCAGAAUAUAAUAUAAUUAGAAUACAAUACAAUAAAUUAUUUUCUAUUUCGAAAGUGUCAGUGGAAAAUGAAACCUUUCUGCAUAAUCAGACGAGUGAUCAUUUUGGGGUCAUGUGGGGCAAGUGAUUGCUUAUUCUUAGUCGCCUUUAGAUAUUUCAGAAUACUUCAGAAUAGAGCAUGUGAGGGGAAAGCGACAGCCAGAGUCUCCGGCGCACCACCUCUCAUAAGGAGAGCACAGACGAAGGGCAGGGAUCUCCUCCAUGUGACUUGCUGACGUUACAGUAGGACGCUGCUAAAGAGGAAUGCAGGGAAUGAAUACGGAUUACUGCUUAAGAAGGGAUCCACACUGCCCCUGACGUCCAAGUCGAGGAAGUCCGAAGUUUAGUUUUCGGCUGGGUAACUUGUUUGAUUCACAUAUUUCUUUCAGACCUCGACUACCGUAGGCCGACUCACGAUGUCCGGCGAUCAUCAUAAUGACAAGGAGGCCAUGAGUAUAUACUGUAUAACCCUCAACGGUCCAGCACCAUGGGGCUUCAGACUUCAGGGGGGGAAGGACUUCAGCAUGCCCCUCACGGUGUCCAGGGUAAGCUCUGUGUGUGUGUGUGUGUGUCACUCACCGAGCCAUGUUGCUCGACCACUAGAGAUCAUCUGCCGACUGUCCACUCUUCAGUCUGCAUGGUCGACGCAACAAUAUGUUGAUUUAUGCCAGCGAUGCAGCUUUCCAAUUUGCUUCUUAAUAUAAAUCCACAAGUGUUCUAUAAUUACACUUGGUUUGUGUAUCUUACUGUUUGCAAACAGGUAGUUGGUAUUUUCUUAGCAAGUUGUAAACGUAGCUAGCUAAUACUGAUACCUGUGAUGGUGUAGACCUAAAUCAGCAUGUUUGUGCAACAGUGUCUUCUAAAUCUGAGAGGAAUACGCAAAGCAUGAAUGUUAGCUACAUGAAGUAAGGGAAACCAUUUUAAUGUAGCCAAAGAUUGUAGGGUCCCACUCCCCUGGGAAACACUGACCAACACUUUGGUUCCUACCCUGUCACAAUAAGGCCUCUAGGGAAUUGGUAUUCUAUGAAUGCCUCCUGACUUUCAUUCAUUGUCAUGUCAAACACUGUAUUCAAAAUGUACUUUAUUACAUUGUAACUGUAUAAUUAGAAUACUCAUUAUAUUUCCAGGAUUCCAACAGUUCAACUAACUGUUUUGAUCUAAAUCUCAAGUCAUAUCACAAUUUCAAUAUUUGGUUAAAAAGAAGACCUCUGUUUUUUUGAUCUGAAACUAGAUCUACUUCUGGUUGAAGGGAGCCACCAGAAGGGAGAAAUCCCCAUGUAUGUGUUGCCACCCUAAGGUCACGCACAACUCAGAGAAAAUGUAGAACUUAUAUUAUUCAUUAGUGAUAAUGAUGUUUUGCGUUUGUCUCUCGUUCGCUCUUUCUGUCUGUCUCUCGUUCGCUCUUUCUGUCUGUCUGUUUAUUUUCGUGUCAAGUCGGCGAAAGAAAUCAAUACGUAAUAGUAAAUAAGUUUAUCAAGCAGUUAAUAUAACCCUAGAGCAGGAAACAAAGAAUACAAUAUAAAUCCUGACGCAUUUUAUCUGAAGGUGUUUGAAUCCAGUCUACCACAAAGAGUAGAUUCAAGUAUGAGCCAGGCCUAUAUAUAUAUAUAUAUAUAUAUGUGUAUAUAUAUAUGUAUGUGUGUGUGUACAUGCCAUUUGCUGUGCGUUUGUUUGACCUGGGGGGGUCUGUAUGUCUGGCUUUGUGUCUUUAUACAGGUUACACGUUACUCUGCUCAGUCAAUCAACCGGAUAUGUUUCAUCCAUAUGCUACAAUUCCUAAGCAGCUAUUUUGAAAGCGGCUAUAUCUGAAUGUAGCAUAAGCUCCUUGACCCCAGUGUGACCUUAACCCUGGGUCUGACCAUGACACCUGUUGUGGGUUUUAUUUGAACAGCAAACUAUGGGGGGAGAACAGCUAGCUAUGAUGGGUGGAAUUAUCCAUGUUUCAGCUCUGAAACGAUCAGUUGCCUCUCAGUUCAUGCAUUCUUCUGACGUGUGUCAGUGGGGCGUGUCCCAAAUCACACCCUAUUACCCUGUGCACUAGAGCACUCCUUUUUGAUCAGGGUCCAUAGGGCUCUAGUGAAGAGGGGGGCCAUUUGGGAUGUAAUCAGUAUGUAUGAUACAGUAUCAGACUGAGUUGCUUCACUUCUCUCUCUCUCUCCUCAUAAGGACAUGUUGUGGCUUGUUUAGGCUUGCCCAGGAACAACUUGUUACUGUGUUAGGUCACUGUAUCUUAGCUAAAUGAAGCGUACGUAGCUAAAUGAUUUCUCUGAUUGUCCAUAAACGACUGGCUAUGGAACAGAGUGACACCCAACACAGGGGCUCCAGCCCUUAUAAGUGCAA
ensembl:lncRNA